GAUGAAGAACGCAGCGAAAUGCGAUAAGUAGUGUGAAUUGCAGAAUUCAGUGAAUCAUCGAAUCUUUGAACGCACAUUGCGCCCCUUGGUAUCCCGAGGGGCAUGCCUGUUCGAGCGUCAUUUCACCACUCAAGCCUGGCUUGGUGUUGGGCGACGUCCUCUUUGGGGACGCGCCUCGAAACGCUCGGCGGCGUGGCACCGGCUUUAAGCGUAGCAGAAUCUUUCGCUUUGGAAGUCGGGGCCCCGUCUGCCGGAAGACCUGCUCGCAAGGUUGACCUCGGAUCAGGCAGGGAUACCCGCUGAACUUAAGCAUAUCAAUAAGCGUAGGA
rnacentral:misc_RNA from 1 species